AUGUUGGAACCAGAAAAUGUUUGGUAUUUCAAAAAAUGACAUUUUAUUUUUGAUAAAUGUGAUCUCACAAAUAAGAGUCAACACUUCAGCUACACUUGGUUAAGGUUGCUUCGUCAGAACACUUCCUGUGGCUCCUCUGGAAAAACAGAUUAUCAUGGAACCAUGUGACAACACAAAGCCACAUCUCCGCUGGAUGCACAAGUCUCGUAAAGGUUUGGCGGAGAAUGUGAUGAUCGAGGGUCAUUCCCAACCCAUUUGCCUGGAAGCUGGAGUGAAAGCUGACAGCAUCUUCCUCAAAGACUGUGAUCCUAUCAGUACUUUUCAGAAAUGGCAGUUUACACACUACAACGCUGAAUGAAAUGUUCCAGAAUAUCGCUCACAUAUUGUCCAUAAUAGCAUUGACAUCUGUGCAUGCGUUUUUUUUAAUAGCUUAUAGGUGGUUUGAUGAGAGUCCACUUAAUGCACUGUGUAUGCUACAUAUGGUUUUUGACACUCUGAAUCAUUAGGGUUUGAGGUUCAGAUCAGGGAAUCAGGUCUUCUCUUUUAGUUAUUCUAGAUAAUUUGUAUUUGUGUGAUUUGCUUGGGAAACACUGGUGUGGAUAGCAAAUGAAACAUGGGGUUUUCUACAACAAAAACAUUUAGAAGUACCCAUGUGAUAUUUCACAAUAAAGUUAUUGUUGCUUGUAA